rnacentral:rRNA from 1 species
GACGAACGCUGGCGGCGUGCUUAACACAUGCAAGUCGAACGAAAAGAGGGGAAGAGCUUGCUCUUUUCAGAAUUGAGUGGCAAACGGGUGAGUAACACGUAAACAACCUGCCUUCAGGAUGGGGACAACAGACGGAAACGACUGCUAAUACCGAAUAAGCGCACAGCUUCGCAUGAAGCAGUGUGAAAAACUCCGGUGGUACAAGAUGGACCCGCGUCUGAUUAGCUAGUUGGUGAGGUAACGGCCCACCAAGGCGACGAUCAGUAGCCGGACUGAGAGGUUGAACGGCCACAUUGGGACUGAGAUACGGCCCAGACUCCUACGGGAGGCAGCAGUGGGGAAUAUUGCACAAUGGGGGAAACCCUGAUGCAGCGACGCCGCGUGGAGGAAGAAGGUCUUCGGAUUGUAAACUCCUGUUGUUGAGGAAGAUAAUGACGGUACUCAACAAGGAAGUGACGGCUAACUACGUGCCAGCAGCCGCGGUAAAGUCAGAGUGAC